AGAAGCUGAGAAGUGGUCAGCUGUACGGUCAUUGGUAAUUCAACUCACCUGUCACAUCAGGUCCCUCAUCCAGGAGUGUAACUUGUCCUUGCCUGACCCACCCUCGUAUAUACUAGAGCAACAAGAAACAGUGAUGGGUGAAUGUGCGAAGUUGGCUCAGCAGGUUGACAG